rnacentral:lncRNA from 1 species
CAAUUACACCAGUCAAACUCCUACUAAAACCAAAACUUUUAGGGAUAUCAAGUGCCCCAUGGUCUUCCAUCAUGGGAGGAAAAACAUAGGACCUUUAAAUCAUAAUUAAGCUGUCACGCCCCAAACCCAUCACUCGGGUCGACCACGUGAUAUGGCCACAUAAUUCCUAAAGUAAAACCCUAGGGAUCAUGUAAGGCCUAACAAGGUACAAUAUUCCCAAAACUGCCAAAAUCAAAGAUUAAUGUAAUUCAAUCAAAUCCAACUAAAAUGUACUGAUUUAUUACAUAAUUUUAAAUGUCCAUAAAUAAAAGAUAAGCUACUUCUAACUAUCUAAUAGUCUGACUCCAGAUUGAUCUCACUUCUUCUCCCACCCGACAGAUUCUACGAAUCCAGUGCCUCUAAAAAAGAAAGUAAGUAUAGUAUGAGCUUUUCCAGCCCAGUAAGAAUUCCAACAGCCACACACAGUAAUAAUGAUAAAAUCAUCAAAGUAACAAAUAAAUGUCAUUUCAUCAUUUCAAAAGCUCAACAAACAACAAGUAUAUAUAACCAUUUCAUAUACAUAA